UUUUCAGCUCUUGGAGAGGAAAGAAGAACCCUAGCUGUCAGGGAAGCCCAAGCAGCAUCGAGGUAAAGAGAGAGGAAAGAGGGGAGGAGCCUUCAUCAUGUGAGGUGGAUGAGUGCGCGGCAAUCGCGAAGGUGGAAGACGAGGCAAAAAGGGAGACGUCGUGGGAAGAAAAGAUAGAGAAAGGGAGAGGCGUGCGAUAGGAAAAUGAAGAGAGAGAAUAAGAGAUCAUCAGGCGGAGCGAAGGUGGAAGACGAGGCAAAAAGGGAGAUAUCGUGGGAAGAAGAGAUAGAGAGAGAGAGAGAGAGAGGCGUGCGGCAGGAAAAAGAAGAGAGAGAAUAGGAGAUCGCCAGGCGGAAGAAGAAGAAGGAGAAGAAGAAGGAGAAAGAGAAGAAGAAUAAGAAGAAUAAGAAAAAGAGAAGAGAAAAGAAAUGAGGCGUGAUGGCCAUGGUGCGCGGUCUACGACCGAGGGUUAGUGAAGCUAAUAGAGGAAGUAGAUUUGAACAACCAGCCGGAUAUGCAGCGAUCCUGUGGAGGAGAGAAGUGUGUAACGUGUGCAGCCAGAAAGAAGGAACUUCACGUGCAGCGAUUUCACAGAACAAAGGAAUCUGAUGCGGUGACAAUGGUGGACACAGUGGAGGAGAGAGGAAACAACCAUGGGGAAGAAGAAGGAAGAAAAAAAAGAAAAAAAAAGAAAAAAAAAAGGCAAAAAACAUAGAUGAAAAAGAAAAAAAAAAGAGAAGGAAAAAAAUAGACAGGGCAUGGCUUGAUCUACUGUUGGUGCGCACAAAGGCGCAUACUAAUCACGAUGGCACGUGCAGUAGUGCGUAAUUAUUCCGGUGAUGCACGUGGUGGCGCGUGGUGGCUCCAGCAUCUGGGGACCCCAGAUUCGAAGGUAAAAUCAUUUCCCUUUUGUUUCGUAGCAUUUCGAUUAUUACUCAUCUUUAAUGACAUGCGUAUUCUGGUUGUGAACGAGGAAAACAUUGGAGUGAUAGUAGGGAGGUGGAGAGAAUCGUAACCCAAUACCAUUUUGGGUUAUCGCGUUGAUAAUUGUGGGGUUCAUGUCAAGCCAAUCGCUUCCUACGGAGAAACAAGGUGCAUUUCUUUCGGGAAUCUUGAACCCAUUGAAGCUUCACGUAGGCCAUGAAAUUUGGGAGAGCGUAAAGGAGCGUAAAUCGAUGCCUUAGUCGUCCGAGAAAGUAAGUAUAUCUAGUAGCUAUUUCAAAACCACAUUCGCAUGUUUUCAAAAAUGUUUUCAAGCAAAAACCUAAUUAAGUUUUAAGUAAGAUUUAUAAAAUUGAGGAAUUAGGAUUGAUAAUCGAGUAAGUGAAAGAAAUUGAAAAUUUGUGAUACUGAAUAUUUUAAUUUUUCAUUUGUUUGUUGCUUAAUUUGUA